AUUGAACGCUGGCGGCAUGCCUUACACAUGCAAGUCGAACGGCAGCACGGGUGCUUGCACCUGGUGGCGAGUGGCGAACGGGUGAGUAAUACAUCGGAACAUGUCCUGUAGCGGGGGAUAGCCCGGCGAAAGCCGGAUUAAUACCGCAUACGAUCCACGGAUGAAAGCGGGGGACCUUCGGGCCUCGCGCUAUAGGGUUGGCCGAUGGCUGAUUAGCUAGUUGGUGGGGUAAAGGCCUACCAAGGCGACGAUCAGUAGCUGGUCUGAGAGGACGACCAGCCACACUGGGACUGAGACACGGCCCAGACUCCUACGGGAGGCAGCAGUGGGGAAUUUUGGACAAUGGGCGAAAGCCUGAUCCAGCAAUGCCGCGUGUGUGAAGAAGGACUUCGGGUUGUAAAGCACUUUUGUCCGGAAAGAAAUCCUUGACUCUAAUACAGUCGGGGGAUGACGGUACCGGAAGAAUAAGCACCGGCUAACUACGUG
rnacentral:rRNA from 1 species